AGCUUUGCACAGUGGCAGUAUUGUAGCCAAUGAGGUUUAUCCGAGGUGUGAUUAUUGUUAAUUAAAUUAUUAUUAAAUAUGAAAUAUCCUUCACCUUUGGUCCAGCAAUUCUACUUCUAAAAAUUUUCCAUACAG